AUCUGAAAAUGAUCCUACAACUUAACUGAUAGUAUAAUACUAUAGGAAAAUGUUGUGUUGCAUAAGACAUGCGAAGGGACAUCAUUAACGUUCACAGAGCUGAGAGGAAGAGAGCUUUCCUCCUAUUUUCCCCAGUUAGAUCAGGAGCUGAUUUCUCACCAGGAACCUUGGAGGCCAGAGGGCAUGGGCUGACGUACUCAAAGUGCAGAAGGAAAAAAGAAUCCAACCAAGAAUCCUAUAUCUGGCAGAACUGUCCUUAAAACAUGAGGGAGGAAUUAAGACAUUCCCAUAGAAACCACGGCUGAGAGAGUGCUGUACACCAGACCUGCCUCCAGCAAGGGGAGUCCUUCAGGCUGAAAGGAAACCACAGGGGAGCGUAACUUGACACCUUAUGCAGAAAUAAAGGUCUCUGGUCCAAAAAAAACUGAACAAAAACACAAAAGUGAGUGAAUUUGGAUACCCGCACUCCUGGCUCCUGCUAAGUGGCAGGUGGGGAGCAGGCACGUGACGCACCGUGGCUUCUGUGAGGUCAGCUCAGAGAGGCUGGACAGACCAUCCUCCUCUCACAGCCACACUGCAGAGCUGGUCCGAUCAGAUCUGUGGUCACGAUCACGGCACCCCUUCUCUGGGUGAGAGCCCCAUCAGAGCAUGUGAUCAAAGCCAUGGACCCCACGCCAGAAAAAAGCACACACUCCACUGCAAGUCUCGCCAUGGAGAGUCCUGUGCACUCGCCACAGAGCAAUGUCCAGCAAUUGAGACAGCUGGCCCUGACUGUCCCAGCUUUGGGGCGAGGUCUGUGGUAGGAAUGGCCAGUAGCUGUACCUGGACUCUGUGAUUUCUACGAUGGAAGGAAUGACACUCCUGCCAGGUUCAGGCCUAACCUUGAAAAAGACUGGCAAGUGGCACUUUCUCUCUCUUAGGAACCAGCCAUGACGCUGUGAAGAAGCCCACGUGGCCACAUGGCAGAGGACCAAGGCCCCUGGCCAUCAGCCCCGCUGAGCUCCCAUCUUGUCAGCCAGCACCAACUUGCCAGCAUUGUGAGCAAGGCUUCAGCUGAUGUCACAGAGGGCGGAGAGGAGCUGUCCCCCUGGGCCCAGCCCAAACUGAAAUCGCGAGUGAACAAAUGAUGAUUCUCAUUUUAAAGCACUAACAUUGUGGGUGGUUUGGUACACAACGACAGACAACCACAACACCCCUCCCCACUUGCUCCAUGCAGGCUCCAGUUCCUCACAGGGCCCGAAGCCCCCGUUACUGAGUGAAUGUUUGUGUCCUCCCCAAAUUCCUCUGUUGAAACCCUAACCCCCAGGGUGGCUGUAGCUGGAGACGGGGCCUGUGAGCAGGUGCUAGGGGCUAAAUGAGGCCAUGAGGGUGGGGCCCUAGCUCGGUAGGACCAGUGCCCUGACAAGAAGAAGGGACAAGAGCAUGAUCUCUCCACCACGUGAGGCCCUGGGGAGAAGGCGCCAGCCAGGAGGAGGGGUCCCCCCAGGAACCCGCCCUGCCAGAUGCUGAUCUGGGGCCUGCAGCCUCCAGAACUGUAGGAAAAUGAACUUCUGUUGUUCACGCGGCCGUCUAUGGCACUCUAUUGU
ensembl:lncRNA